rnacentral:rRNA from 1 species
GAGUUUGAUCGUGGCUCAGAUUGAACGCUGGCGGAAUGCUUUACACAUGCAAGUCGAACGGCAGCACGGGGGCAACCCUGGUGGCGAGUGGCGAACGGGUGAGUAAUACAUCGGAACGUGCCCAGUCGUGGGGGAUAACGUAGCGAAAGCUACGCUAAUACCGCAUACGAACUCAGGUUGAAAGCGGGGGAUCGCAAGACCUCGCGCGAUUGGAGCGGCCGAUGGCAGAUUAGGUAGUUGGUGGGGUAAAGGCUCACCAAGCCGACGAUCUGUAGCUGGUCUGGGAGGACGACCAGCCACACUGGGACUGAGACACGGCCCAGACUCCUACGGGAGGCAGCAGUGGGGAAUUUUGGACAAUGGGCGCAAGCCUGAUCCAGCCAUUCCGCGUGCAGGAUGAAGGCCCUCGGGUUGUAAACUGCUUUUGUACGGAACGAAACGGCCUGCCCUAAUACAGCGGGCUAAUGACGGUACCGUAAGAAUAAGCACCGGCUAACUACGUG